ACGGCCAUACCACAUUGAAAACACCGGUUCUCGUCCGAUCACUGAAGUUAAGCAAUGUCGGGCCUGGUCAGUACUUGGGAGGGUGACCACCUGGGAACACCGGGUGCUAUAGGCU
rnacentral:rRNA from 1 species